rnacentral:rRNA from 1 species
GAAGAAAGAGGGAGGCGUGCUUAACACAUGCAAGUCGAACGGAAAGGCCCCUUUGGGGGUACUCGAGUGGCGAACGGGUGAGUAACACGUGAGUAACCUGCCCUUGACUUCGGGAUAACUUCAGGAAACUGGGGCUAAUACCGGAUAGGAAUCCUUGCUGCAUGGUGGGGGUUGGAAAGCUUCGGCGGUUUUGGAUGGACUCGCGGCUUAUCAGCUUGUUGGUGGGGUAGUGGCUUACCAAGGCUUUGACGGGUAGCCGGCCUGAGAGGGCGACCGGCCACAUUGGGACUGAGAUACGGCCCAGACUCCUACGGGAGGCAGCAGUGGGGAAUAUUGCACAAUGGGCGGAAGCCUGAUGCAGCAACGCCGCGUGCGGGAUGACGGCCUUCGGGUUGUAAACCGCUUUCAGCAGGGGCGAAGCUUGUGGUGACGGUACCUGCAGAAGAAGCACCGGCUAACUACGUG